rnacentral:rRNA from 1 species
AGAGUUUGAUCCUGGCUCAGAUUGAACGCUGGCGGCAUGCUUUACACAUGCAAGUCGAACGGCAGCACGGGCUUCGGCCUGGUGGCGAGUGGCGAACGGGUGAGUAAUGCGUCGGAACGCGCCGAGUAGUGGGGGAUAACGCAGCGAGAGCUGUGCUAAUACCGCAUACGUACUGAGGUAGAAAGUGGGGGACCUUCGGGCCUCACGCUAUUCGAGCGGCCGACGUCUGAUUAGCUAGUUGGUGGGGUAAAGGCUCACCAAGGCGACGAUCAGUAGCGGGUCUGAGAGGAUGAUCCGCCACACUGGGACUGAGACACGGCCCAGACUCCUACGGGAGGCAGCAGUGGGGAAUUUUGGACAAUGGGCGCAAGCCCGAUCCAGCCAUGCCGCGUGUCUGAAGAAGGCCUU